CUGGGGCAUAUGAUGAAAUUAUAUUUCAUGGGUAAUUUGCGUCUGAAUUUUCUUGAUGUAAUCUUUAUGAUUUUCUGAUGCCCAAA
rfam:Brassica napus, WGS project CCCW01000000 data, contig: 25529